rnacentral:lncRNA from 1 species
AUUGUAUGGUGUUGCCCAUCAAAAAACUUUGAAUGACAAUCUAGGGGUAGCAUGUUCURUGGUCUCAUAAAGGUUGUGGGCUGCCUGAGCUAUAGUCCUCAUUUCUGGUUUCUCACUGUAUCAAAUUAUGUUUUUCUUGUCAGCAAUACUGGAGUGAGCUGGUACCUAGAGCCCAUACUGACUGUCUGGUGUGGAACUGAAGUCUAUAUUGAACUGGAGGGGACCUCGUUGUAUCCAGUGCUCUGUAAAUAUGCAAUUGUCCAACUUCACCAUCAGUCCAGAGGCUGAAUUUUGUGGCAGUGUAACCUGGAACGCCUCUACCUGUGGGGAUCGACAGAUGGAAGGAAGAACAGAAGGUGACGACAGCAGCUGUAGAACUACACAAUCCUCCUUUGGAGUAUUUCAUAUGAGGAUAUCUCUUUGAGGCUGACAGGCUGUCAUUUACCAGAAGAUGCCUAGUUUGUGAUGGUGUUGCUGAUGUACACUAAUAGUAAAAGAGUCUGGAAUACCCCAGUGCACUUUGAAAACAAAGUGUGAGUUGCUUGGGAUAUUCCUAUAUAUAUUGGGUGCGGAGGG